rnacentral:rRNA from 1 species
AGGGUUUGAUCCUGGCUCAGAACGUACGCUGGCGGCACGCCUAAUACAUGCAAGUCGAACGAAGUAGCAAUACUUAGUGGCAGACGGGUGAGUAACAUGUAGGUAUCUACCCUUUGGCCUGGAAUAACACGAGGAAACUUGUGCUAAUACCGGAUAAGUCUUUACGGAGAAAGCUUUAUGCACCAUUGGAUGAGCCUGCACUUGAUUAGUUUGUUGGUGGGGUAAUGGCCUACCAAGACAAUGAUCAAUAGCUGAUUUGAGAGGAUGAUCAGCCACAUUGGGACUGAGACACGGCCCAAACUCCUACGGGAGGCAGCAGUAGGGAAUCUUGCACAAUGGAGGAAACUCUGAUGCAGCGAUGCCGCGUGAGUGAAGAAGGCCUUUGGGUUGUAAAGCUCUUUCGUCGGGGAAGAAAAUGACUGUACCCGAAUAAGAAGGUCCGGCUAACUUCGUGCCAGCAGCCGCGGUAAUACGAAGGGACCUAGCGUAGUUCGGAAUUACUGGGCUUAAAGAGUUCGUAGGUGGUUAAAAAAGUUGGUGGUGAAAUCCCAGAGCUUAACUCUGGAACUGCCAUCAAAACUUUUUAGCUAGAGUAUGAUAGAGGAAAGCAGAAUUUCUAGUGUAGAGGUGAAAUUCGUAGA